rnacentral:misc_RNA from 1 species
UCUCCGUAGGUGAACCUGCGGAGGGAUCAUUACACAAUAAAAUACGAAGGCCGUUCGCGGCUGGACUAUUUAUUACCCUUGUCUUUUGCGCACUUGUUGUUUCCUGGGCGGGUUCGCUCGCCACCAGGACCACAAUAUAAACCUUUUUUAUGCAGUUGCAAUCAGCGUCAGUAUAACAAAUGUAAAUCAUUUACAACUUUCAACAACGGAUCUCUUGGUUCUG